UACGAAGGGUGCAAGCGUUACUCGGAAUUACUGGGCGUAAAGCGUGCGUAGGCGGUUUGUUAAGUCCGUUGUGAAAGCCCUGGGCUCAACCUGGGAAUUGCAGUGGAUACUGGCGAGCUAGAGUGCGGUAGAGGAUGGUGGAAUUCCCGGUGUAGCGGUGAAAUGCGUAGAGAUCCGGAAGAACACCGGUGGCGAAGGCGGCCUGCUGGGCAGUUGCUGACACUGAGGCGCGACAGCGUGGGGAGCAAACAGG
rnacentral:rRNA from 1 species